rnacentral:rRNA from 1 species
CGAACGCUUGCGGCGUGCCUAACACAUGCAAGUCGAACGAGAAAGCCCUGCUUGCAGGGUGAGUAAAGUGGCGAACGGGUGAGUAACACGUGGGUAAUCUGCCUAGGGGGCAGGGAUAACAUCCCGAAAGGGGUGCUAAUACCUGAUACGACAAAGACUUCACAUGGAGAUUUUGUGAAAGGUGACCUCUUCUUGAAAGUUGCUGCCCUUAGAUGAGCCCGCGUACCAUUAGCUUGUUGGUAGGGUAAUGGCCUACCAAGGCGAAGAUGGUUAGCUGGUCUGAGAGGAUGAUCAGCCACACUGGAACUGAGACACGGUCCAGACUCCUACGGGAGGCAGCAGUGGGGAAUAUUGCGCAAUGGGGGAAACCCUGACGCAGCAACGCCGCGUGAGUGAUGAAGGCCUUUGGGUCGUAAAGCUCUGUCAGGUGGGAAGAGAACGGACGGUACCACCAAAGGAAGCACCGGCUAACUCC